rnacentral:tRNA from 1 species
GGGCUUAGUGGUAGAGCUCUCACCUAGCAUGUGCGAGGCCCUGGGUUCAAUUCUCAGUGCCA